GGGCUGCUAGUUCAUUGGUAGAACGCUUUCCUGAUAAGAAAGAGGUACUAGGUUCGAUUCCUAGGCAGCCCA
rfam:Candidatus Gottesmanbacteria bacterium RIFCSPLOWO2_01_FTLL_49_10 rifcsplowo2_01_scaffold_50793, whole genome shotgun sequence.